rnacentral:rRNA from 1 species
GAUGAACGCUGGCGGCGUGCCUAAUACAUGCCAGUCGAGCGAACGGACGAGAAGCUUGCUUCUCUGAUGUUAGCGGCGGACGGGUGAGUAACACGUGGAUAACCUACCUAUAAGACUGGGAUAACUUCGGGAAACCGGCGCUAAUCCCGGAUAAUAUUUUGAACCGCAUGGUUCAAAAGUGAAAGACGGUCUUGCUGUCACUUAUAGAUGGAUCCGCGCUGCAUUAGCUAGUUGGUAAGGUAACGGCUUACCAAGGCAACGAUGCAUAGCCGACCUGAGAGGGUGAUCGGCCACACUGGAACUGAGACACGGUCCAGACUCCUACGGGAGGCAGCAGUAGGGAAUCUUCCGCAAUGGGCGAAAGCCUGACGGAGCAACGCCGCGUGAGUGAUGAAGGUCUUCGGAUCGUAAAACUCUGUUAUUAGGGAAGAACAUAUGUGUAAGUAACUGUGCACAUCUUGACGGUACCUAAUCAGAAAGCCACGGCUAACUACGUG